UGGGGAAUAUUGCACAAUGGGGGAAACCCUGAUGCAGCGACGCCGCGUGGGCGAGGAAGUACCUCGGUAUGUAAAGCCCUAUCAGCAGGGAAGAAACAGGACAGUACCUGACUAAGAAGCCCCGGCUAACUACGUGCCAGCAGCCGCGGUAAUACGUAGGGGGCAAGCGUUAUCCGGAUUCACUGGGCGUAAAGGGAGCGCAGGCGGCAUGGCAAGUCUGAUGUGAAAACCCGGGGCCCAACCCCGGGAGUGCAUUGGAAACUGCCAGGCUGGAGUGUCGGAGGGGUAAGCGGAAUUCCUAGUGUAGCGGUGAAAUGCGUAGAUAUUAGGAGGAACACCAGUGGCGAAGGCGGCUUACUGGACGACUACUGACGCUGAGGCUCGAAAGCGUGGGGAGCAA
rnacentral:rRNA from 1 species